UACGUAGGGUGCAAGCGUUGUCCGGAAUUAUUGGGCGUAAAGAGCUCGUAGGCGGUUUGUCGCGUCCGCUGUGAAAAAUCCAGGGCUUUAACCCUGGACCUGCAGUGGGUACGGGCAGACUAGAGUGCGGAGGGAGAUCGGAAUCCUGGUGUAGCGGUGAAAUGCGCAGAUAUCAGGAGGAACGACCGUGGCGAAGGCGGAUCUCUGGGCCGUAACUGACGCUGAGGAGCGAAAGCAUGGGGAGCAAACAGGG
rnacentral:rRNA from 1 species